rnacentral:rRNA from 1 species
ACUGCUCAGUAACACGUGGACAACCUGCCCUUAGGUUGGGUAUAAACCCGGGAAACUGGGUAUAAUACCCGAUAGGUCUCGAUUGCUGGAAUGCAUCGAGAUUUAAAGCUCCGGCGCCUAAGGAUGGGUCUGCGGCCUAUCAGGUAGUAGUGGGUGUAGCGUACCUACUAGCCUACGACGGGUACGGGUUGUGAGAGCAAGAGCCCGGAGAUGGAUUCUGAGACACGAAUCCAGGCCCUACGGGGUGCAGCAGGCGCGAAAACUUUACAAUGCUGGCAACAGCGAUAAGGGAACCUCGAGUGCCAGGUUACAAAUCUGGCUGUCGAGAUGCCUAAAAAGCAUCUGUUAGCAAGGGCCGGGCAAGACCGGCGCCAGCCGCCGCGGUAACACCGGCGGCCCGAGUGGUAACCGCUUUUAUUGGGUCUAAAGGGUCUGUAGCCGGCCAAGUAAGUCCCUUGGGAAAUCUGGCAGCUUAACUGUCAGGCUGCUAGGGGAUACUGCUAGGCUUGGGACCGGGAGAGGUGAGAGGUACCUUGGGGGUAGGGGUGAAAUCUUGUGAUCCUCGGGGGACCACCAGUGGCGAAGGCGUCUCACCAGAACGGGUCCGACGGUAAGGGACGAAAGCUAGGGGCACGAACCGGAUUAGAUACCCGGGUAGUCCUAGCCGUAAACGAUGCUCGCUAGGUGUCAGUCACGGUGCGACCGUGAUUGGUGCCGUAGGGAAGCCGUGAAGCGAGCCACCUGGGAAGUAUGGCCGCAAGGCUGAAACUUAAAGGAAUUGGCGGGGGAGCAC